CUUAUUUGAAAUUAGAAAUAAGGUAUAAGAUCAAGCUCUAAGACUACACUUGGCACUCACUAUAGAUAAUUGCACCCUAUAUUUCUUCCAUCUGUGUGGUUUUAUAGGGAACUUCAUGAUCCCAGGAUGAGAUGAUCAUGUUUAACCCUGCUGUCUUUAUUUCUGAGCUACUGCUUUGGUGAUUCUGCUGCUGCCAGAGGAAAGGGCAGGGCCCUACAGAAGCAGCCGGCAUCUGGCCAGGUGGAGUCCUGUAGUACCAGACCGUGGCCUGGCAAAAGCAUGUCUGAGCCCUAGUCUUGCAAUGCCAAGAUUUCACAUGACCCCAGAUGUCCCCCAAAUCAAGAACAGCUUCUCUUAUUGUGUAUUACUAUUACAAAACCUUUAAUAUGUAUUCAACAACAGCCUAAAACAGCAACAGAGUUUUGUGGAAAAGCCAAAACAGUCUGAUUCAGAAGUCUUCAUUUCUUAUUUAAACUGAGGUUCCCUGGCAUUCUGAAAUCACUGGCCAGUUUUUUUCUUUUCUAUCUCAAGUACAAUACUAAUUCUAUUUAAACGCAAGAUAUCUACAAACAUUAUGUUAAAGAAUUCUUCUCAUUGAAUGACUCUAGUAGAGAGAAGCAGAAGAUAUUUAAAAGAAGGAUCAGGAUUUUUUCAAUGCCUUUGCUUGAACCCUCAACUCCUGGCCUUGACCCCGUCUCAUCCUAAACUUCAGCAGAACAAAAGAUAAAAGUUCUACAUAUAGAUGAAGUACUUAUGGUAAGUAGUGUUAAUUCACUUAUUUUCACUAACAUUGUGCUGGAUGUUAGGAUGAAUAGGGUGUUAAGACGAAUAAGAUAGCAUUCCUGAUUGUAACUAACCGAUGAAUUAAUGGGAGAGAGAGACAAUAAUUGAC
rnacentral:lncRNA from 1 species